UACGGGGGGGGCAAGCGUUGUUCGGAAUUACUGGGCGUAAAGGGCUCGUAGGCGGCCAACUAAGUCAGACGUGAAAUCCCUCGGCUUAACCGGGGAACUGCGUCUGAUACUGGAUGGCUUGAGAUUGGGAGAGGGAUGCGGAAUUCCAGGUGUAGCGGUGAAAUGCGUAGAUAUCUGGAGGAACACCGGUGGCGAAGGCGGCAUCCUGGACCAACACUGACGCUGAGACGCGAAAGCGUGGGGAGCAAACAGG
rnacentral:rRNA from 1 species